GCCUCGCUCGUCUAAUGGCAGGGCCUCUGUUUUACACACAGAAGAUGGCGGUUCGAUUCCGUCGCGAGGUACCA
rnacentral:tRNA from 1 species